AGAAGCGGUUCAGGCCAGAGAGAAGAACGGCCCAGGGCGGGGGUCGUAGAAACAGUGGAUGUCCUGGAAAUCUUCAAAUAGGAAAAGGUGAGGAGGGCUCAUCGUUUGCUUCCCAUUUAACGUGUAUCUUGUGUUACAUUUUGGUUUUGGCAUCGUAUUUCUUUUUCUUCCUCUUCUUCUCCUCUUCCUUCGUUCGUGAAAUGAACGUCUGCUGACACCGCAUCAGGUGGUGUGCUCUUUCUAGCUCAUGAGAUGAAUUGUUGGCAAAUGCUACAAAUCCAGACUUGAUGUAUUGCUUGGUUUCUCAAGUCUGGACUUGAGAAAACGAUAAAGAAAAUGUUAACACCUGAGACUAAAUUUCCACGUGGGUCGUGUCAGUAGCCGUUAGGCUGUGAAGAGCUAUGCCUCGACACAUAGAUUUGUCCCCCUCCAGGGCGCUGCUUGGGAGUUAUUUACGAUUGUACGACCGACUGCUGUCCAUCUUUAACCAGCCUCUCACUCUUUCUCUCUUGUUCUAGGUAGAGUUUCCAAUGGGCAAUGGAAAUGUCAUUCCUGGAGUCCUUCAAACGAGGGUUUCCAUAGAAUCUGGUCUCCCAAAUCGUGGUCACGCUGGGGCUUUCAUUCUCUUAAUGACUCUCCUUUAGGUCCCCAGUUGCUGGCAUUUCAGAUCAUCCUCAUUUGGGGUUUUGAUCUUUUUGGAGCAAAGCCUCAGGAAGCUACAUCAGAAAAGUUCAAUCUAGAUUUGUGUAUUUCUGGCAAUUAGAUUGGUUGAUCUGGUUGGAUGACUCGUUUAGCUGCCUGCCACAGGGCAGGUUCAAAACAUACCUUGCCUUCAGUUUCUGAAGUCAUUGCUCCCUCGUCCUGCAGUGUACAGACUUGAUGAGGCUUUCUGCUUUGACUCAUGGCUAACGUGGUCUCUCUUCUUAUUCUCCAGCUACUCAGCUUCUCUUUUAGAUAACCAGUACUGCUAGUUUCCAAGUAAGAUCGACCAUACCAUCAUGUAGUUGUGACAUGGUUUUCGGAUUCGCUUUGUUCCCAAUGCUUCGAGGAUCCACUCUUUGGGCCAAGUGAAGAUCAUUGACCUUUCGUCACUGUCUUUGUGCAAGAGGGAAAUACUUGCCCCUCUUUCUAAAGCUGGCUGGCAACCUCACGAAGCAUUUUUUCCCCUUGAAGCCUGAUCCUCCUUCAGUUUAUCAAAUCUAUGGCAUGGCCCGUAUAAUUUCUUGGUAAAAAUAACUUUGGACUCUCUUAGUAAUUCAUGAAGCGAAGAAAAACAAGUCUACCAUUAUGUCAGGAGGACGGAUCCAAAUCACGUGACCCUUGGAUGGCUCCCUCACCCCGGCAGGCACCACCUUUAGCUCCCAGGGCUUUAACAGGGAAAGAACAGGUCGGGAAAGCACCUGACCCGUCAUCCCAAGAGCAUCACUGUGCCUUCUGGCCUCCCCGAAGGAUGACACUCUCCUAAUGGUGAUCUGGGUCAUUUCUGUUGCAUCCCAGAGUGCUGGGCCGGAAUGGCUGGCCUCAGAUUGGCCCUCUGAGAGGCCGAGAAAGAGAGCGGGAACAGGCUCAAGCUAAAGAAAUUCCUCCCUCUUCAAGCCCCGAGGUGAGGCCACUGAUUGUUCUUUUCUGUGCCACAGCGACCCAGUCAGGAGAGAACCACUGCAGAGGCUGCCCAGCAUUCCUCCAGGAAAGAGCAUCAGGAGGGAACUCUUCCCUCAGGCAGCGGGAGGGCCCUGCUCACCAGGAGCCAUGUGAGGACCCACCCAACAGGGGACUGUCAGCAACUGGGAAAUCAAGGUUCCCUGAGUCCCAGGAAAGAUGUCUUACCAGCAGCAGCAGUGCAAGCAGCCCUGCCAGCCACCUCCUGUGUGCAUACCCAAGUGCCCUGAGCCAUGUCCACCCCCUAAGUGCCCUGAGCCAUGUCCACCUCCUUGCCCACCUGUGGUGUGCCCACCUCCAGUAUGCCAGCAGAAAUGCCCACCCUGCCCACCCUGCCCACCCUGCCCACCGUGCCCACCCUGCCAGCAGAAGUGUCCACCCAAGUGCCUGUAACAGCAGCAGACUUCCUCAGGACCAUGCAACAACGGGAUCCAGGCUCCUCUUGGUCCCAGGGCUCCCUCGUCCUCCCUUUGGCCAUGGUGAUAGACUGCAUCCUUCUCAACCUCCCUCCUGGAUUCACAGCUGACAGAGAAAAGGCUUGGUUCCCGAGGCUCAUAGCAUGUUGUUGGAAGAGCAGCAGCGUCAUGUCAUCGCCGAAUGGGGCUCCGCCAUCUGCCUGCCUGUGAUCUGGGUUGUGAUCUCCAGCCUCUGAGCGCUUCAGUGUGUCUCUUUUUCAGUUCUCCAAUAAAGGACAU